AUGAACUGAAAGUGCUUGCACGGAAGGGAAUUGGAUUUUGUAGUUAGUGGCGGACGGGUGAGUAACACGUGGGUAACCUACCACACAGAAUGGAAUAACUAUUGGAAACGAUAGCUAAUACCGUAUAUGACCUUCGGGUUGAAAGGGGCGUAUGCCUCGCUGUGUGAUGGGCCUGCGGCGCAUUAGCUAGUUGGUAAGGUAAAGGCUUACCAAGGCGACGAUGCGUAGCCGGACUGAGAGGUCGAUCGGCCACAUUGGGACUGAGACACGGCCCAAACUUCUACGGGAGGCAGCAGUAGGGAAUUUUCCGCAAUGGACGAAAGUCUGACGGAGCAAUGCCGCGUGAGUGAUGAAGGUUUUCGAAUCGUAAAGCUCUGUUGUAAGGGAAGAAUAGCAGUAGUAGGAAAUGACUACUGUG
rnacentral:rRNA from 1 species